rnacentral:lncRNA from 1 species
CAUCAUGAGACAUUUAAUCCUUCUCUUUGAGAUCUCAUGGCUAUGUACUCUUCUUUCUUUCUGAGUAAGCAUGGACUCUUCCUUUAGCAUCAAUCUACUGUUGCUGGUAGCCAACCUGAUGCUGGAAUGGAUUGAUCUGUGGUGGAUGGAGCAUGAUUUUACAUCGGAUAGAAGAGAACCUGUAAAUCAAGUCUCUUACUGGAGUUAUUUCCAAUCGAAAUCCUUUAACACUCAAGUUAGUCACCAGAGAAUAGUGCAAAGGAAGGAGAGACUAGAACGUGAGAGUUUAUCUGGAGGUCUCCUAUGCCCUCUAUUUAUAGAUGGGGCAGUCGGCUGGUUUUGGAACAAAGGGCAGGAGUGGU